UACGGAGGGUGCGAGCGUUACUCGGAAUCACUGGGCGUAAAGCGCGCGUAGGCGGUAAGGCAAGUCAGGCGUGAAAGCCCCCGGCUUAACCGGGGAAGUGCGUUUGAAACUGCCUUUCUUGAGUACCGGAGAGGGAAGUGGAAUUCCCGGUGUAGAGGUGAAAUUCGUAGAUAUCGGGAGGAACACCGGUGGCGAAGGCGACUUCCUGGACGAGUACUGACGCUAAAGCGCGAAAGCGUGGGGAGCAAACAGG
rnacentral:rRNA from 1 species